GUACGGAUGGCCGAGUGGUCUAAGGCGCCAGAUUCAAGUGACAUACUGUUUCUCACGAGUUCAAAGUAUGGUACGAUUUACAUGGGUAUUUUGGUAUCGUUAUAGAUGUGUGAGGGCGAAUCCUACUCCGUACA
rfam:Onchocerca ochengi, WGS project CAWC01000000 data, contig: 03503_5167